rnacentral:rRNA from 1 species
AGCGUACACGGUGGAUGCCCUGGCAGUCAGAGGCGAUGAAGGACGUGCUAAUCUGCGAUAAGCGUCGGUGAGGUGAUAUGAACCGUUAUAACCGGCGAUUUCCGAAUGGGGAAACCCAGUGUGUUUCGACACACUAUCAUUAACUGAAUCCAUAGGUUAAUGAGGCGAACCGGGGGAACUGAAACAUCUAAGUACCCCGAGGAAAAGAAAUCAACCGAGAUUCCCCCAGUAGCGGCGAGCGAACGGGGAGGAGCCCAGAGCCUGAAUCAGUGUGUGUGUUAGUGGAAGCGUCUGGAAAGGCGUGCGAUACAGGGUGACAGCCCCGUACACAAAAAUGCACAUGCUGUGAGCUCGAUGAGUAGGGCGGGACACGUGGUAUCCUGUCUGAAUAUGGGGGGACCAUCCUCCAAGGCUAAAUACUCCUGACUGACCGAUAGUGAACCAGUACCGUGAGGGAAAGGCGAAAAGAACCCCGGCGAGGGGAGUGAAAAAGAACCUGAAACCGUGUACGUACAAGCAGUGGGAGCCUCUUAAUGGGGUGACUGCGUACCUUUUGUAUAAUGGGUCAGCGACUUAUAUUCUGUAGCAAGGUUAACCGAAUAGGGGAGCCGAAGGGAAACCGAGUCUUAACUGGGCGUUAAGUUGCAGGGUAUAGACCCGAAACCCGGUGAUCUAGCCAUGGGCAGGUUGAAGGUUGGGUAACACUAACUGGAGGACCGAACCGACUAAUGUUGAAAAAUUAGCGGAUGACUUGUGGCUGGGGGUGAAAGGCCAAUCAAACCGGGAGAUAGCUGGUUCUCCCCGAAAGCUAUUUAGGUAGCGCCUCGUGAAUUCAUCUCCGGGGGUAGAGCACUGUUUCGGCAAGGGGGUCAUCCCGACUUACCAACCCGAUGCAAACUGCGAAUACCGGAGAAUGUUAUCACGGGAGACACACGGCGGGUGCUAACGUCCGUCGUGAAGAGGGAAACAACCCAGACCGCCAGCUAAGGUCCCAAAGUCAUGGUUAAGUGGGAAACGAUGUGGGAAGGCCCAGACAGCCAGGAUGUUGGCUUAGAAGCAGCCAUCAUUUAAAGAAAGCGUAAUAGCUCACUGGUCGAGUCGGCCUGCGCGGAAGAUGUAACGGGGCUAAACCAUGCACCGAAGCUGCGGCAGCGACGCUUAUGCGUUGUUGGGUAGGGGAGCGUUCUGUAAGCCUGUGAAGGUGGCCUGUGAGGGUUGCUGGAGGUAUCAGAAGUGCGAAUGCUGACAUAAGUAACGAUAAAGCGGGUGAAAAGCCCGCUCGCCGGAAGACCAAGGGUUCCUGUCCAACGUUAAUCGGGGCAGGGUGAGUCGACCCCUAAGGCGAGGCCGAAAGGCGUAGUCGAUGGGAAACAGGUUAAUAUUCCUGUACUUGGUGUUACUGCGAAGGGGGGACGGAGAAGGCUAUGUUGGCCGGGCGACGGUUGUCCCGGUUUAAGCGUGUAGGCUGGUUUUCCAGGCAAAUCCGGAAAACCAAGGCUGAGGCGUGAUGACGAGGCACUACGGUGCUGAAGCGACAAAUGCCCUGCUUCCAGGAAAAGCCUCUAAGCAUCAGGUAACAUCAAAUCGUACCCCAAACCGACACAGGUGGUCAGGUAGAGAAUACCAAGGCGCUUGAGAGAACUCGGGUGAAGGAACUAGGCAAAAUGGUGCCGUAACUUCGGGAGAAGGCACGCUGAUAUGUAGGUGAAGCGACUUGCUCGUGGAGCUGAAAUCAGUCGAAGAUACCAGCUGGCUGCAACUGUUUAUUAAAAACACAGCACUGUGCAAACACGAAAGUGGACGUAUACGGUGUGACGCCUGCCCGGUGCCGGAAGGUUAAUUGAUGGGGUUAGCGGCAACGCGAAGCUCUUGAUCGAAGCCCCGGUAAACGGCGGCCGUAACUAUAACGGUCCUAAGGUAGCGAAAUUCCUUGUCGGGUAAGUUCCGACCUGCACGAAUGGCGUAAUGAUGGCCAGGCUGUCUCCACCCGAGACUCAGUGAAAUUGAACUCGCUGUGAAGAUGCAGUGUACCCGCGGCAAGACGGAAAGACCCCGUGAACCUUUACUAUAGCUUGACACUGAACAUUGAGCCUUGAUGUGUAGGAUAGGUGGGAGGCUUUGAAGUGUGGACGCCAGUCUGCAUGGAGCCGACCUUGAAAUACCACCCUUUAAUGUUUGAUGUUCUAACGUGGGCCCCUUACCGGGGUUGCGGACAGUGUCUGGUGGGUAGUUUGACUGGGGCGGUCUCCUCCUAAAGAGUAACGGAGGAGCACGAAGGUUGGCUAAUCCUGGUCGGACAUCAGGAGGUUAGUGCAAUGGCAUAAGCCAGCUUGACUGCGAGCGUGACGGCGCGAGCAGGUGCGAAAGCAGGUCAUAGUGAUCCGGUGGUUCUGAAUGGAAGGGCCAUCGCUCAACGGAUAAAAGGUACUCCGGGGAUAACAGGCUGAUACCGCCCAAGAGUUCAUAUCGACGGCGGUGUUUGGCACCUCGAUGUCGGCUCAUCACAUCCUGGGGCUGAAGUAGGUCCCAAGGGUAUGGCUGUUCGCCAUUUAAAGUGGUACGCGAGCUGGGUUUAGAACGUCGUGAGACAGUUCGGUCCCUAUCUGCCGUGGGCGCUGGAGAACUGAGGGGGGCUGCUCCUAGUACGAGAGGACCGGAGUGGACGCAUCACUGGUGUUCGGGUUGUCAUGCCAAUGGCACUGCCCGGUAGCUAAAUGCGGAAGAGAUAAGUGCUGAAAGCAUCUAAGCACGAAACUUGCCCCGAGAUGAGUUCU